rnacentral:rRNA from 1 species
GAUUAACGCUGGCGGCGUGCCUAACACAUGCAAGUCGAACGAGGUAGCAAUACCUAGUGGCAGACGGGUGAGUAACGCGUGGUCAACCUACCCUAGAGUGGGGAGUAACUAGCCGAAGGUUAGCUAAUACGCAUGAACGUAGCCGGGGCGAUCUCGGAAUGUUGAAAGGAGCAAUCCGCUCAAGGACGGGACCGCGUCCCAUUAGCUAGUU